GUGCUUCACCCUUCGCUCUAGAGACGCAUCUCCUGGUUCCCACUCCUCGCUCACCCUUCUGCCUGGCUCUAUGCUCCAGCGUUUUACCCGACCCGGUCACCUACCUGCUCAGGACCCGGGGCAAGGUGGUCCAAGCACCCGCCGCCACCUCCAGAUUGCCUACAGCAACUCCAGGAAGAGAAGGGAGGACAAGCAGAGAGACCCAGCCGCGCAGAGACCCAGCCGCGCGGGCUGUCUGGACAAACACUCGGGCCCAGAAGGACACUCGGCGUCCAGAUCACAGCCCUGGCCCGCCCCGCCGCGCCCACAUGCUGGGGUGACUGACUGGGCGCUCCCUCAAGGCCCCUCCCGGGUGCUGGAGGCGCUCCAGGGCCAGUAGGCAAGGCUUGGCUGCCUUGGUCCAGUGACAGCAAGGCCACUAGUCCUUGGCUAAUCUAGAGUGCUGUCUACAGUCUGGGGUAGUUUGCCCUGACACCUCAGGGGGGGUCUGUGGGACUUACUAAUUACAAUUGUCCACACUUGACUUGUUAGGUGGAGCCUGCAAUGGCAGGCAGGCAGGGUCCAUCUGGGAACCUGGGUCCUGCAGCCAAGUUGGCUGCAGUUCUGUGACUGCGUUUCUACAGCUUACUUUUUCCUUCUCUUUUGUUGACAUUAAGUAAAUUAUCAAACUCUGAA
rnacentral:lncRNA from 1 species